UAAGGAAUAUUGGUCAAUGGACGCAAGUCUGAACCAGCCAUGCCGCGUGAAGGAUGAAGGUCCUCUGGAUUGUAAACUUCUUUUAUCUGGGACGAAAACGGGAUUUUUAUCUCAAUUGACGGUACCAGAGGAAUAAGCACCGGCUAACUCCGUGCCAUCAGCCGCGGUAAUACGGAGGGUGCGAGCGUUAUCCGGAUUUACUGGGUUUAAAGGGUGCGUAGGUGGGCUUAUAAGUCAGUGGUGAAAUCUCCGAGCUUAACUUGGAAACUGCCGUUGAUACUAUAGGUCUUGAAUUAUCUGGAGGUAAGCGGAAUAUGUCAUGUAGCGGUGAAAUGCUUAGAUAUGACAUAGAACACCAAUUGCGAAGGCAGCUUACUACAUAUAAAUUGACGCUGAGGCACGAAAGCGUGGGGAUCAAACA
rnacentral:rRNA from 1 species